rnacentral:rRNA from 1 species
AGAGUUUGAUCAUGGCUCAGCCUGAACGCUGGCGGCGUGGCUAAGACAUGCAAGUCGCACGGGGCAGCAAUGCCCAGUGGCGAACGGGAGAGUAAUGAAUCGCUAACGUACCCCGGACUCCGGGAUAGCCGGCCGAAAGGUCGGGUAAUACCGGAUGACAUACCCCUUUGGCAUCAUCGGGGUCUCAAAGGUCCGCCGGUCUGGGAGCGGGCGAUUUCGUAUCAGCUAGUUGGUGGGGUAACGGCCCACCAAGGCGACGACGCGUAGCCGGACUGAGAGGUUGGCCGGCCUCAUUGGGACUGAGACACUGCCCAGACUCCUACGGGGGGCUGCAGUAACGAAUCUUCCGCAAUGCACGAAAGUGUGACGGAGCGACGCCGCGUGUGGGACGAAGCCCUUCGGGGUGUAAACCACUGUCAGGGGUUACCAAGUUCUGAGGAGCCCCAGAGGAAGGCACGGCUAACUCUGUGCCAGCAGCCGCGGUAAGACAGAGGUGCCAAGCGUUAGGCGGAAUCACUGGGCUUAAAGCGUGUGUAGGCGGACUGGUAAGUACCUUGUGAAAUCCCACGGCUCAACCGUGGAACUGCUCGGUAUACUGCCGGUCUUGAGCCACUUAGGGGCUGUCGGAACAAACGGUGGAGCGGUGAAAUGCGUAGAUAUCGUUUGGAACGCCAACGGUGAAAACAGACAGCUGGGAGUGUGCUGACGCUGAGACACGAAAGCCAGGGGAGCGAACGGGAUUAGAUACCCCUGUAGUCC